GAUGAACGCUGGCGGCGUGCCUAAUACAUGCAAGUCGAGCGAACAGACGAGGAGCUUGCUCCUCUGACGUUAGCGGCGGACGGGUGAGUAACACGUGGAUAACCUACCUAUAAGACUGGGAUAACUUCGGGAAACCGGAGCUAAUACCGGAUAAUAUAUUGAACCGCAUGGUUCAAUAGUGAAAGACGGUUUUGCUGUCACUUAUAGAUGGAUCCGCGCCGCAUUUGCUAGUUGGUAAGGUAACGGCCUACCAAGGCAACGAGGCGUAGCCGACCUGGGAGGGUGAUCGGCCACACUGGAACUGAGACACGGUCCAGACUCCUACGGGAGGCAGCAGUAGGGAAUCUUCCGCAAUGGGCGAAAGCCUGACGGGGCAACGCCGCGUGGGUGAUGAAGGUCUUCGGAUCGUAAAACUCUGUUAGUAGGGAAGAACAAAUGUGUAAGUAACUAGGCACGUCUUGACGGUACCUAAUCAGAAAGCCACGGCUAACUACGUG
rnacentral:rRNA from 1 species